GACGAACGCUGGCGGCGCGCUUAACACAUGCAAGUCGAACGGAAAGGCCCUGCUUUUGUGGGGUGCUCGAGUGGCGAACGGGUGAGUAACACGUGAGUAACCUGCCCUUGACUUUGGGAUAACUUCAGGAAACUGGGGCUAAUACCGGAUAGGAGCUCCUGCUGCAUGGUGGGGGUUGGAAAGUUUCGGCGGUUGGGGAUGGACUCGCGGCUUAUCAGCUUGUUGGUGGGGUAGUGGCCUACCAAGGCUUUGACGGGUAGCCGGCCUGAGAGGGUGACCGGCCACAUUGGGACUGAGAUACGGCCCAGACUCCUACGGGAGGCAGCAGUGGGGAAUAUUGCACAAUGGGCGGAAGCCUGAUGCAGCAACGCCGCGUGCGGGAUGACGGCCUUCGGGUUGUAAACCGCUUUCGCCUGUGACGAAGCGUGAGUGACGGCAAUGGGUAAAGAAGCACCGGCUAACUACGUG
rnacentral:rRNA from 1 species